UAGGGAAUCUUCGGCAAUGGACGCAAGUCUGACCGAGCAACGCCGCGUGAGUGAAGAAGGUUUUCGGAUCGUAAAACUCUGUUGUUAUAGAAGAACAAGGAUGAGAGUAGAACGUUCAUCCCUUGACGGUAUCUAACCAGAAAGCCACGGCUAACUACGUGCCAGCAGCCGCGGUAAUACGUAGGUGGCAAGCGUUGUCCGGAUUUAUUGGGCGUAAAGCGAGCGCAGGCGGUUUCUUAAGUCUGAUGUGAAAGCCCCCGGCUCAACCGGGGAGGGUCAUUGGAAACUGGGAAACUUGAGUGCAGAAGAGGUGAGUGGAAUUCCAUGUGUGGCGGUGAAAUGCGUGGAUAUAUGGAGGAACACCAGUGGCGAAGGCGGCUCUCUGGUCUGUAACUGACGCUGAGGCUCGAAAGCGUGGGGAGCAAACAGG
rnacentral:rRNA from 1 species